GUGAGUGUGUUACGGAGACGGCACUUGCCUCCAGUGUGUAUUACAGAGACAGUACUUCCCUCCAGUAUGUUUGUGAGUGCGUGUGAGUGAGCGUGUGCUUCAAAGACGGUACCUCCCUCCAGCGUGUGUGUGUGUGUGUGUGUGCGCCUGGUGCAAUCCGCACCUCCCUCCCUCCCGGCCGCAGGCUGAGGUGCGAACGAACCACCCACUCCCUCCCUCCCUCCGUGUGCGGGUCACGGCCAGGCUGUGGGAAGCGGCGCUGGGCAUCCGAGCGCCCAGGCGCCCACUCUCUCCCCCGGCCCGGCCGAGCCAUGGAGCGGCGGCGGAACACGGCUGCCCUUCUCCCGAUGGCGCUCCUGUGCGGGACGUGCCCUUACUUCUGCUGUCUGAUCUGCUGGACGCCGGAGUGUUGCAGCGGGGCCGCGGGUCACAACCAAGUGAAUUUACUGGACUCCAGAGCUGUAAUGGGAGACCUGGGAUGGAUAGCCUAUCCGAAGAACGGGUGGGAAGAAAUCGGUGAGGUUGAUGAGAAUUACAGUCCCAUCCACACGUACCAGGUGUGCAACGUGAUGGAGCAGAACCAGAACAAUUGGUUGCAGACCAACUGGAUCUCCAACGAGGGAGCCAACCGCAUUUUCAUUGAGCUGAAGUUCACGCUGCGGGACUGCAACAGUCUCCCCGGCGGCCUGGGAACCUGCAAGGAGACCUUUAACGUGCACCAUUUCGAAUCGGACGAAGAAGAUGGGCGGUUCAUCAGGGAGAGCCAGUACACCAAAAUUGACACCAUCGCGGCGGACGAGAGCUUCACGGAGCUGGACCUGGGAGAUCGAGUCAUGAAGCUCAACACGGAGGUGCGUGAGGUCGGGCCCCUGAGUAAGAAGGGUUUCUACCUCGCCUUUCAGGAUGUCGGUGCCUGCAUCGCCCUGGUCUCGGUGAGAGUUUACUACAAGAAGUGCCCGUCCACCUUCCGUAACUUUGCUGUCUUUGAAGACACGGUCACGGGGGCCGAUUCCUCGUCUCUGGUGGAGGUGCCGGGGACAUGUGUCAACAAUUCAAUAAAAGGCGUCACUCCGAAGAUGUACUGCAGCGCUGACGGAGAGUGGUUGGUCCCGAUCGGGAGGUGCAUGUGCAAAGAAGGCUACGAAGAGCGGAGCAACGCAUGUCAAGCUUGUCAACCGGGAUUCUUUAAGGCUUCACCAUACAGUCCCUACUGCAGCAAGUGUCCACCCCACAGUUAUACCCAUGACAGGGGAUCUGCAGUGUGUCACUGCAUGGAGAACUACUUCAGAAGAGACAAUGACCCACCCUCGAUGGCCUGUACAAGACCUCCGUCAGCCCCACUGAACGUAAUCUCCAACAUCAACAACACCAGCGUGAUCCUGGAUUGGAGCCCCCCAGCCAAGGCGGGCGGGAGGAAGGACCUGAUGUACGUGGUGGUUUGCAGGAGGUGCGGCGUGGAUCUGGCGGAGUGCGGCGAGUGCGGCGGCGGGGUCCGCUACAUCCCACAGGAGGCGCGACUGAGGAACACCUCCGUGAUGGUGGUGGACCUCCUGGCUCACACCAACUACACCUUCGAGAUCGAAGCGGUGAACGGAGUGUCCGAGCUCAGCCCCAUCCCCAGGCAGUUUGUGUCUGUGAACGUCACCACCAAUCAAGCAGCCCCUUCACCCAUCAGUGUCGUCAAGAAGAAGAGGAUCGCCAAAAAUAGCAUCUCCUUGAUGUGGCAAGAGCCGAACCGACCCAACGGCAUCAUCCUGGAGUACGAGAUCAAGUACUUUGAAAAGGAUCAGGAGACGAGCUACACCAUCAUUAAGUCCAAAGAGACGGAGAUCUUGGUGGACGGCCUGAAGCCCACGACAACCUACGUCUAUCAGAUCCGAGCCCGCACCGCCGCAGGUUAUGGGGGAUACAGUCGGAAAUUCGAAUUCGAAACCAGCCCGGUCUCCUUGCCUGCCGGCGAUCAGAGUCAGGUGCCAAUUAUUGGGGUGUCGGUGGCAGUGGGAAUGAUCCUGGUAGCAGUUGUCUCCGGCCUGCUGCUCAGCGGAAGGCGAUGUGGGUACAGUAAGGCCAAGCAAGACCCCGAAGAGGAGAAGAUGCACUUCCACAAUGGUCACAUUAAAUUGCCAGGUAUACGGACAUACAUUGAUCCUCAUACGUAUGAAGAUCCAAGCCAAGCUGUUCAUGAGUUUGCCAAGGAAAUUGAUGCCUCCUGCAUAACUAUCGAAAGAGUCAUCGGCGCAGGUGAAUUCGGCGAGGUGUGCAGUGGCCGUCUGAAGUUACCUGGGAAAAGAGAGUUCCCGGUCGCCAUCAAAACCCUGAAGGUUGGCUACACCGAGAAGCAACGCAGGGAGUUCCUUGGUGAAGCGAGUAUCAUGGGACAGUUUGACCACCCAAACAUCAUCCAUCUUGAGGGAGUGGUCACUAAAAGUAAACCAGUUAUGAUAGUGACAGAAUAUAUGGAGAAUGGCUCUCUUGAUACUUUUUUAAAGAAGAACGAUGGCCAGUUUACAGUCAUCCAGCUGGUGGGAAUGUUGAGAGGAAUUGCCUCGGGAAUGAGGUAUCUGUCAGACAUGGGUUACGUCCACCGAGAUCUGGCGGCACGGAACAUCUUGGUCAACAGUAACCUGGUCAGUAAGGUUUCUGAUUUUGGCCUUUCUCGAAUACUGGAGGAUGACCCAGAAGCUGCAUACACCACAAAGGGAGGGAAGAUCCCGAUCAGGUGGACAGCUCCUGAGGCAAUCGCUUACCGCAAGUUCACCUCUGCCAGUGACGUGUGGGGCUAUGGAAUUGUCAUGUGGGAGGUGAUGUCCUACGGAGAGAGACCCUACUGGGAAAUGACUAAUCAGGACGUGAUUAAGGCUGUGGAUGAAGGCUACCGCUUGCCCACUCCCAUGGACUGUCCUGCCACCCUCUACCAGUUAAUGCUUGACUGUUGGCAGAAGGAGCGCAACAGCAGGCCCAGAUUUGAAGAGAUAGUUAGCAUCUUAGAUAAGAUGAUUCGCAAUCCAUGCAGCCUGAAGAUGCUGGUCAAUGCUUCCACAAGAGGGUCUAACUUGCUACUGGACCACAAUACGAUGGGUUUCAAUGCAUACCGGUCCGUGGGGGAGUGGCUGGAGUCACUUAAGAUGGGUCAGUAUGCGGACAAUUUCAAUGAGAAUGGAUACACGUCGUUGGAUGUGGUUACCAAAAUAACUUUGGAGUGAGUAAUUUCCUAUUCAGUGUUGCUGCUUAAUGCCUAAUGAAUGGGAGUGGUGGAAUCUAUUGUCACCUCGAGGUAUUCACAAAUUAUUUCCUGACUACUAGCGAGUAAGGUGCAACGCACUUCAGGAAAGGAAGAUCCAUUGAACGAGGAGACAAGUCCCGCAUUCGUCUCCGAUCCACAUACUUAUUAGUAAACGGAAUCUGCGCCACCACUCUAAUACCGUAGGGUCAAUAGCCAAGCGUCUCCAAAUGGGCUACUAUUUUAACAACAACAAUUGCUGUCAGAGGAUUUAAAAACAGAAAAUACUCCAGGUGAGGCAACAUCUACGGGGGAGGGAGAUAUGGAGAUGAUGUGUCUGAUCUGUGACUUUUCAUUAGAAUUCAAGGAGUAGUCGAAGGGACAUCCGUUUUCCCAUUUCAUGCGCUUUGUCCAUUCGAGUUUAUUUGAUCAUCAACAUUAUAAAGGGGGCAAGAGGCACUCAUUCUAACAUCCACAUGACCAUCCUCAAACAUGUGUGUCCAUCAGGCAAAUCAACAGUGUGAUGUUUGGGAUAUAUGCACUUGUGUUUUAGCACUUUAGUACCUCACUGUACAGACGUUCACAGAGAUCCUUGGCAAGAUUGUUCAAACUACAGUGCUGUGGCCCAGUCAUAGCACAAACAAUAUG